AUUGAACGCUGGCGGCAUGCUUUACACAUGCAAGUCGAACGGCAGCACGGGUGCUUGCACCUGGUGGCGAGUGGCGAACGGGUGAGUAAUGCAUCGGAACGUGCCCAUGAGUGGGGGAUAGCCCGGCGAAAGCCGGAUUAAUACCGCAUACGCCCUUAGGGGGAAAGCGGGGGAUCUUCGGACCUCGCGCUAUUGGAGCGGCCGAUGUCGGAUUAGCUAGUAGGUGAGGUAAAGGCUCACCUAGGCGACGAUCCGUAGCUGGUCUGAGAGGAUGAUCAGCCACACUGGGACUGAGACACGGCCCAGACUCCUACGGGAGGCAGCAGUGGGGAAUUUUGGACAAUGGGCGCAAGCCUGAUCCAGCCAUGCCGCGUGAGUGAAGAAGGCCUCGGUUG
rnacentral:rRNA from 1 species